CCGGGUUGUCCUUGCCGUAAAUAUAUCACCGGGGCGCAUAAUCUUGUUCUGUAACCUCCCGCAAAUCCCAGGGACGUGCAGAAUUCAUCAGCUCCAAGGUAUGUGAGGCUGGAGUUCGAAGAGAAAAGCCUCUCCCUCUUACGAUUCCAAACAUAUUAAGGAAACACCCUCUGCAGGGAUUUUUUUUUUUUUUUUUUUUUUUUUACUGAUGGGUCCCUUUCACCAUAGUGAUGUGGAGGUGUGUUUAAUUCUUUUACCAAGAGGACUUCAGGGAAACGGGGAUCCUGAAGGAACACAGAGUUUUUGCAGCCGGUUGACUGGGACAUCACUGGAAACUCAUUCUGUAUGCUUGGGCAAAGUUCCAGCAAUCUAUUGCUCUGUGUGACGAAACCACUCCAAAAUGUAGCCGUUUAAUACAACAGCAACCAUCUAUUACAUUCAGCGCAGCGACUGGUCUCAGCUGGGUGGUUCUCUGCUUCAGGGUGGGAUCAGCUAGGGCCGCAGUCAUCCAGAGACUUCACCGAACAGGAAUAUCCCAGAUAGUUUCUUCUCAUGGUUAUCAGUGGGUAUGAACUCCUGACUGGGAGCUCACCUGGGACUGUCUACAGAAGCCCCUGGUUCGCCUCCAUCUGGCCCCUCCUACUUCUUGUGCUUCUUACAAUAAUAAAGCGGGCCUUCCGGGUUGGAACAUUCCACGUGCGAACGUAGAAGCUGGAGACCUCGAUGGCCCAGGCUUGGAGCAACACAGAUAGACUUUUACCUCAACUUUGCAGUGAGGUAUGGCCAUCUCACUGCUUUCUGACUUCUGCGACGUGAGUGAAGCGAUGUAUGCCACUUCCAGGCCUGGCCUCCAAAUCUCCUGGGUGCCACCUGCAUGAUCUUUCACGUCUGCAGCUUUGAUGCCAGUGUCGAAGGUGCCGGGCCACAAGGACAAAAGAGGUUGUUCCCAAGCUCACUGCUGAGAUAAAUCUGACCAUUGAUCAAGAGCGUAAAACCAACUUCUUUGGUGUUAAACCGUUGAGAUAUUCCACAGUAGCAUCUACGAUUACCUAAACUAAGAAGCGAUGGGUCAUUUUUCCUUGGACCAGGGCGCUAGAGGUGAAGAUGAUGAGGAGUGGUCAGAUUCUACAUCAUCAGUAGUGUGACAACAUUUUUCAAGGAUUUGGAUGUGGUAAGAUAGUAAGAGAGGAGCCAAGGACCAUCUAAAUGUUUUUGCCUGGAAUAUGUGUAGGGAGGAAUGGCCAUUUAUUGAGAUGGAAAGAUU